rnacentral:rRNA from 1 species
AUUGAACGCUGGCGGCAUGCCUUACACAUGCAAGUCGAACGGUAACGGGCCUUCGGGUGCCGACGAGUGGCGAACGGGUGAGUAAUGUAUCGGAACGUACCUUUCAGUGGGGGAUAACGUAGCGAAAGUUACGCUAAUACCGCAUAUUCUGUGUGCAGGAAAGCAGGGGAUCGCAAGACCUUGCGCUGAUUGAGCGGCCGAUAUCAGAUUAGCUAGUUGGUGAGGUAAAGGCUCACCAAGGCGACGAUCUGUAGCGGGUCUGAGAGGAUGAUCCGCCACACUGGAACUGAGACACGGUCCAGACUCCUACGGGAGGCAGCAGUGGGGAAUUUUGGACAAUGGGGGCAACCCUGAUCCAGCCAUGCCGCGUGAGUGAAGAAGGCCUUCGGGUUGUAAAGCUCUUUCGGCCGGGAAGAAAUCGUAUGGGUUAAUACCCUGUGCGGAUGACGGUACCGGCAUAAGAAGCACCGGCUAACUACGUGCCAGCCGCCGCCGUAA